UCGAUUCCCUUAGUAGCGGCGAGCGAAACGGGAAGAGCCCAAACCAACAAGCUUGCUUGUUGGGGUUGUAGGACACUCUAUACGGAGUUACAAAGGACGACAUUAGACGAAUCAUCUGGAAAGAUGAAUCAAAGAAGGUAAUAAUCCUGUAGUCGAAAAUGUUGUCUCUCUUGAGUGGAUCCUGAGUACGACGGAGCACGUGAAAUUCCGUCGGAAUCUGGGAGGACCAUCUCCUAAGGCUAAAUACUCUCUAGUGACCGAUAGUGAACCAGUACCGUGAGGGAAAGGUGAAAAGCACCCCGGAAGGGGAGUGAAAUAGAACCUGAAACCGUGUGCUUACAAGUAGUCAGAGCCCGUUAAUGGGUGAUGGCGUGCCUUUUGUAGAAUGAACCGGCGAGUUACGAUUUGAUGCAAGGUUAAGCAGUAAAUGUGGAGCCGUAGCGAAAGCGAGUCUGAAUAGGGCGUUUAGUAUUUGGUCGUAGACCCGAAACCAGGUGAUCUACCCUUGGUCAGGUUGAAGUUCAGGUAACACUGAAUGGAGGACCGAACCGACUUACGUUGAAAAGUGAGCGGAUGAACUGAGGGUAGCGGAGAAAUUCCAAUCGAACCUGGAGAUAGCUGGUUCUCUCCGAAAUAGCUUUAGGGCUAGCCUCAAGUGAUGAUUAUUGGAGGUAGAGCACUGUUUGGACGAGGGGCCCCUCUCGGGUUACCGAAUUCAGACAAACUCCGAAUGCCAAUUAAUUUAACUUGGGAGUCAGAACAUGGGUGAUAAGGUCCGUGUUCGAAAGGGAAACAGCCCAGACCACCAGCUAAGGUCCCAAAAUAUAUGUUAAGUGGAAAAGGAUGUGGCGUUGCCCAGACAACUAGGAUGUUGGCUUAGAAGCAGCCAUCAUUUAAAGAGUGCGUAAUAGCUCACUAGUCGAGUGACACUGCGCCGAAAAUGUACCGGGGCUAAACAUAUUACCGAAGCUGUGGAUUGUCCUUUGGACAAUGGUAGGAGAGCGUUCUAAGGGCGUUGAAGCAUGAUCGUAAGGACAUGUGGAGCGCUUAGAAGUGAGAAUGCCGGUGUGAGUAGCGAAAGACGGGUGAGAAUCCCGUCCACCGAUUGACUAAGGUUUCCAGAGGAAGGCUCGUCCGCUCUGGGUUAGUCGGGUCCUAA
rnacentral:rRNA from 1 species